rnacentral:lncRNA from 1 species
GCAAAACCUGCAGUUUUAGUCUUUAUUUAUUGAUUAAAUAAAUGAUUAUUUUCAUUGAUAACAAUUUUAGGCCUGAAAUUAACAGCAGAUUGUGUACAGGAAUCUAAAAGAUUUCUUGAUGUUAUUUUUUAGAAUGACGGCUCUUGGAGGAGGCUUAGUUAAUCAUUCUGCUUUGCUUUUAUUCCUCAUUAAUAUGUGCUUUUGUUUAUAUACAUCGUUGGAGAUUGAGUGACUUGCAUAUGAAUGCUUCUUAAUGCUAGGAAAGGUCUGGCCUUGAGUGAACAUCUUUACUUUUGUCUCCUGAUCUAUGCCAGUUCUUGUGCAGCCAACUGCAUGGUGUUUAGGCAGGGGGUUGAAGGGUGCCCUGUGUGGGGGAGGCCAUGAGACACCUGUGACAGCCUUAAAUGGCUCUGAUGCCAAUGGGAACAGUCAGUGGGAGCCUCACCCUGAAAUAUUUAGCAAAGAGCGACAGCCACUGAGGAAAGAAGACUUGUAAGGAGUCAGCUGAGAAGCGGAGGAUACACAGAGGGACCACUGUUGGAGACAUAGCUGGAGACACACCCUGGGAAGGAGAUGCUCUGUGACAAUGGAGGGACUUCUGAGAGACUGUGGUUGUGGGACACCCGCUCCAACAGGUUUCUGUUGGGGACAGGACACUGCACUAUGUGGAUCUUUGAUGUGGCCCAGGGUGGCAGUGCUGUGUGUGUCAUGGCGGGAGGAGCGCCGCACCAGGGCAGAUGGGACACAACUGAAUUCCAUGGAAGCAUAGUAUCCACCACUGCUUCCUUUUGAAGAAGUGUUGG